UACGUAGGGUGCAAGCGUUGUCCGGAAUUAUUGGGCGUAAAGGGCGCGUAGGCGGUUAUAUAAGUUAGAUGUGAAAUCCCCGGGCUUAACCUGGGAAUGGCAUUUAAUACUGUAUGACUAGAGUAGAGUAGAGGGAAGUGGAAUUUCCGGUGUAGCGGUGAAAUGCGUAGAUAUCGGAAAGAACACCAGUGGCGAAGGCGGCUUCCUGGACUCAUACUGACGUUGAGGCGCGAAAGCGUGGGUAGCAAACAGG
rnacentral:rRNA from 1 species